AACUUUAAUUUUAGGGUUAGGUCUUAUCUCAUCGAGACUCUCUGUCUCUAAGUUUUGUGCAGAGAGACUGCUGCUCUGUUCCGCCUCUCUUCUCUGUGUUCUGACUAUUGGCGGCGACUAGAUGACGCCUCUUCCUUUAUCGACUCGAAUAAUCCUAUGAAUUCAGCUUGCCUAACCUUGCAGCAGAGAUCUUUUGGUAUAAAACGGUCUGGAAUUGUGAAAGAAGAUCUAAGUCAUGCCUGCAUUUUAUGUAUUAUGAGAUCAGUAAUUGCCUUGUAUGUUGCUAAGGUGUGUGUUGACAAAUUUUGUUCUGUUGUUGAUGCAGAAUGAAUGAAAUGAUGCGUGGUCAGAGAGGAUGGAGGGAGCUGGCUGCGUUAGCGGAUAAUUUUGCAAUAGCCUUAAUAGUAUGUAUAAUCCGAUCCGAUAUUCCGAGAUAUUUAUUCGAUCCAAAUUUUAAAAUCUGAUCCGAUGUUAAUUCGGAUUGGAUUCGGAUUGCAUUUUAUAGAAUCCGAAAUCUAAUUUUCAAUUCGAAUAUGUUAAAUCCAAUCCGAUCCAUGAGCAACCCUACUUUGAACUCAUGGACAAUACCAUUUUGGUGAUUGGUUGACUAUAUAUUAGUUAAUAAUCUGUUUCUCGUAUUUAUUGUGCUACUUUCUUCAGAUUGGGCAACUUUAUCCAACUAUUAAAUCGUCUAAACAUAGUUUUUUUACAACUGCCAGCAAUGUAAAUACACACAAUAAUAUAAUUUGUAUAUCAGCUC
rnacentral:lncRNA from 1 species